rnacentral:lncRNA from 1 species
UGGUCCACUCAUCCAAGAUUCAAGAUGCUAAAAAUUUUUUUAGCAUAGUAAAGAAGAGAUCGACUUGUGAAAAUCACAUAGUGACACCAGAUUAUUCAAAAUCAAAAUAUCAUCCUUUCCAUUAGUGAUGAACUUUCUCUAUAAGGGAUAUCAAAUUAUAUCUUCUAUUAUAAAUUCUUAACUUAAAAGAUCAAUAUUGUUGACUAGCUCAAAUAAUCCAGG